UACAGAGGUCUCAAGCGUUGUUCGGAUUCAUUGGGCGUAAAGGGUGCGUAGGUGGCGGGGUAAGUCAGGUGUGAAAUCUCGGGGCUCAACCCCGAAACUGCACUUGAUACUGCCUUGCUCGAGUACUGGAGAGGAGAUUGGAAUUUACGGUGUAGCAGUGAAAUGCGUAGAUAUCGUAAGGAAGACCGGUGGCGAAGGCGGAUCUCUGGGCCUUACCUGACGCUCAGGUGCGAAAGCUAGGGGAGCGAACAGG
rnacentral:rRNA from 1 species